UACGAAGGGUGCAAACGUUGCUCGGAAUUAUUGGGCGUAAAGCGCACGUAGGCGGCUUGGCAAGUCGGAUGUGAAAUCCCUCGGCUCAACCAAGGAAGUGCAUCCGAGACUGGAUAGCUAGGGUACGGUAGAGGGAAGUGGAAUUUCCGGUGUAGCGGUGAAAUGCGUAGAUAUCGGAAGGAACAUCAGUGGCGAAAGCGACUUCCUGGACCAGUACCGACGUUCAGGCACGAAAGCGUGGGGAGCAAACAGG
rnacentral:rRNA from 1 species